rnacentral:rRNA from 1 species
UGUGUAGGCGGUUUGGUAAGUCUGGUGUGAAAUCUCCCGGCUCAACUGGGAGGGUGCGCCGGAAACUGCCGGACUCGAGUACGGGAGAGGAGAGUGGAAUUCCUGGUGUAGCGGUGAAAUGCGUAGAUAUCAGGAGGAACACCGGUGGUGUAGACGGCUCUCUGGACCGUAACUGACGCUGAAACACGAAAGCGUGGGUAGCAAACAGGAUUAGAUACCCGUGGUAGUCCACGCCCUAAACGAUGCAUAUUUGGUGUGGGUCAUUCAGUUGAUCCGUGCCGGAGCUAACGCGUUAAAUAUGCCGCCUGGGGAGUACAGUCGCAAGGCUAGAA